UCCUACGGGAGGCAUCAGUGAGGAAUAUUGGUCAAUGGUCGGGAGACUGAACCAGCCAAGCCGCGUGAGGGAUGAAGGUACAGAGUAUCGUAAACCUCUUUUGUCAGGGAACAAAGGCGGGGACGUGUCCCCGGAUGAGUGUACCUGAAGAAAAAGCAUCGGCUAACUCCGUGCCAGCAGCCGCGGUAAUACGGAGGAUGCGAGCGUUAUCCGGAUUUAUUGGGUUUAAAGGGUGCGCAGGCGGUCUGUUAAGUCAGCGGUCAAAGCCAGGGGCUCAACCCCGGCCCGCCGUUGAAACUGGCAGG
rnacentral:rRNA from 1 species